GGGGGGAAGGCGGCUGGAUCCCUCCUUAUCGACGACUCAGCUGCGGCCAUAAGUUCCCACACGAAUUGCUUGAUUCAUUGAAGAAGACGAAGGAAGCAGCCCGAAGUUGGGUCUGUAGCUCUCUUGGUUAAAGCGCACCCCUGAAAAUGGUGACGUCGGCUGUUCUAAUCUGCCCGCACCCACCAAUUUGGUGUGGGAAACGCCUUCGAAAAUACCGGGCCAUAGCUUUUCUGGGAGAGCGCCUGCCUUGCAUGGGGAGGUCAGCGGUUCGAUCCCGCUUGGCUCCACCACUACUGCUUCUGUUUGUAUAAAGCUUAAAAUUGAGCAUUCCAACUUUGCGAUGGUGAAUGUUGAUUUCUAGUCUUUGACUAGUUCAUUCUUGGAAAUUUGGGUAUGUGAUGAAAGAUAGACUGAAGUUACUUUCACUGGUGACGGAUUGGUUAUGGUAAAAGUUCUGAGUGGCUAGAUGGAGCUCAAAGGAGUUCGGCGAAAGUCGUCUUCACGUAGGACCCCUGCUUGGGGUUAGAAUGGUC
rnacentral:misc_RNA from 1 species